rnacentral:lncRNA from 1 species
AAAUAACAGCUCCAAAAGACAACCAUCAAAGCAUGACACUGAUACAGCAGCUCCAAGCUUGCCUACAUCCAAAAGCUUCUUGAUAUCCCUGGAUAUUCUUCACAUGCCAUUACUGCUUUAGAGAAAAUAGAGGAAGGGUCAGGAUGGAGGUAUUCUGCAUUGGAAUUAUCUUCUGCCACUUUGUGCAACAAAAAAUAAAAUGGAUUAUCAGGAGAAGUAGCUAGUAGAACAAUAUUCAAAUGUUAUGCAUGCUCAUGAAUCAAAUAACAAAUCUACUACAACAAUAUAGUUUUUAUUCACCAAAAAGCUUUAAGAACAAAGGUUAUGGCUCCAUAUACUAGAAUGAUGAAUUUUAGUUUAUAGUUUAUACUCCAACACAACAAAACUCUAAGGAUACAAAGAAAGCAACAUAGACACAAACAACCCGCUGUAGGCUUGGACUAGCCAUUUGUCAAUUGUCACACAAAAGGAAAAUACACGGUGAAAAAUGUGAAUCAAAAAUCAUGCAUAAGCUCAAGGUAUUGCAGGAUAAAUAUAGUGGUUAACAUACCUAUAAAACAGCAGCUCCAAGCUUGCAUACAUCCAAAAGCUUCUUGAUAUCCUUAGUUCUUCAUGUGGCAUUUUUGGUUUAGAGAAAAUAGAGAAAGGAUCAGGAUGGAUGUAGUUCAACAUCAAAAAUUUCUUCUUCCACUUUGUGCAUAAUCAAAUAAAAUGGACUAACAGAGAACAUCACUACUAGGUGAUUGGUAGCAAUUAGAACAACACUGAUAGGUGAUAAGUAUAGCAACUACAACAGCAAUACAAGAUAAGUGGCAAUUAUAACAACACUACUAGGUGAUAAUUGACAAGUAGCAAUUAGAGCAGCAGUACUGAUCAUACAUAGUGAGAAUAAAUAUUAGAGCGGAAACGCCAAAAAUAAGAGACUUACCAAAUCUACGAGUAGAGGCUAUUCACUUCCUUGGUCUUCUUCCUAACUAGUCGUCCAGAUCUACGAGUCUCCAAAUUGCCAACACUUGCUGCUGUCUCCUUUUCAGCUUGUACUUGUGUCUCUUCUUCCACUUGCAUUUGUGUCUCUUGCUGAUCUUGUUGAUCAUCCUCAUCAUCCUCACUCACCCCAUCAUCAUCCUCACUCUCAUUAUCAACAUACUCAUUAUCUUCGUCGUCAUCCUCACUCUCAGUUUCGACAUACUCAUUCUCCUCAUCAUGAUUCCUCUUCCUUUUCUUCUUAUUACCCUUUGUACCAACAUAAGAAUCCUUCCUGCCUGAAUUGAGACGCCUUAUUUUCUCAAAAACAGCACUGGCUUCAUUAGCUCCAUCCACAAUUGGAUCCUCUUCAUCCUCAUUCAGCCACUCCAUUAUUGGAUUUGCUUCAUCAAACAUUGUUGUGUCCAUCAGCAGUGCACUUGGAUCAACUUCAUUAUCUAUAUCUUUCUCUUGAUCUUCUUCAGCACGUAUCUUCAAAGUUUGAAUAGUAAACCAAGUAAAUUAUAUGACAUGCAAGGACAAUACAAGGUUGACAAAGAAAGUAAAAUGAGUUAGUUUAUACCUUUAGGUUGUAGCAUACAGAAACUAGCUUGUGGAGCUUGUCAUAUAAAAGACGAUUUCUUUGCUUUGUGUGCACCAAAGCAAAGGCGCUCCAAUUCCUCUCACACCCACUUGAUGAGAUACAUUGUGAGCAAAUUCUCAUUGCACACUUCUGCAAUGCAGGAACAUCCCCUCCAAAUUGAAACCACCAUUGGGCUGCAAGAUAUCACCAAUGAAAUUUUCAGAAUUGCAAACAAAAAGGAGAUGAAAAUUCUAAAACUAAAGGACCAUGUCUUACUUGGCUCCAUUCUCGCCGCAGCUUCUUCUGCUAAUCUGGUCCCAAACCUCCCUUGGCACUCCCUAAACUUACUUACUUCAUCAAUGGCUGAAAGAGCACUCUUUGGAUCUAAUAUCUUCGCUAUCGCAUCUGUUAGUGAGGUAGCAUAAUCUGUAUGGUUGCAAAGGUUGAGCUUGUAAUGUGUAUAUGGAUCAAGGACAACAGCUGCAUAAAAAAUAGAGCAACAUGAAUUAAAAACAGAAAAAAAAAGAAAUCUAAAUUUCAAAAUUCCAUUCAUUUAUGAAUACCUGCAACCAUAAAUGUAUCUUCUUCCCUUGCCUCUAUCCUCUUGCCCACCUUGCGCAUGAAACUAAGGUACAACCUUGAUGUAGGGCCUAGAUGUGCUUCCAUCCCUUGUAUAGCGAGCAUCAUACUUUUCUUGAAUCCAGAAAGAGUGCAUUGUUUCUGUGUAUCAGCAUACCUCAUGGCCUUAUAAAGUGGCCUCAAUGAACCCAAUACCCACUCUAGCGUGUUCCACCAAACAUUACUAGACAAACAUUCUUCAACAAACACAUAUCCAGGCUCAUACCUCCACUGACACUCCUUCCAAUCAGUCGAAACCAUCCACUCCCUAAAUUUAUCUUUCUUCAAAUGGUAACUCUCAAGGAACAUGAAGACAGUCCCAAAACGGGUGGCAUUUGGUCUAAUUAGUUCACCACCUAUGUUCUUCUUCAUGUUAUCAUGUAGGUUAUUGUGCUUAUGCAAGAACCUACAGAUUGUCUUGGCACUCUUGACUAUCACAUCAACCUCGGGAAAUUUGGCUAUAUCUUUUAACAUAAGAUUGACGGUGUGGGCAGCACACGGUUGCCAAACAAUAUGAGAGUAUUUUGGUUCUUCUAUAAGGGUUUUGCAAGCUUUCUUAUAGUUGGACCCAUUAUCGGUUACUAUUUGAACAAUAUGUUCAUGGCCUAUCUCUUCUACAACCUUCUCAAUCUCUCUAUAGAUAAAGUCUGCAAAAUUAUGUAAAAUGCAUAUACCUAAUUAGAACAAAGCAAGUAUUUUAAGAACAUAAGACAAUUGUAAGACAGAUCCAAGAAUUUAACAAGCAAGUAUUGUAGGAGCAUAUGUAAAAUGCAUAUAUACCUAAUUAGAACAAGGCAUUGAGAACAUAAAACAAUCCUAAAACAGAUUUAAGUAUUCAAGAAGCAAGUAUUGUAACAUUAGGUACCUAUGGCGACUCCUUCCUCCACCCACCUCAGGCGACUCUCAUGGCGAUUCUAGGGUCUAACCCUACGAUCGCCUCUCGACGACCCCAAUGGACGGCCUUCUCCACUGGGAUUUCUCCCCUGGCCUCAAGGUUGAAGCACAGGUGCGUGCUAGGUUUGGAUCUACGGUUCACUUCGUCCCCAACCCCGGCUCCAAGGAGUUCUUCCUUGAAGUUUCCUUCUCUUCGGCCUCUUUUCCCCUCUCGGUGGAUUCGGUGGGUUUGGCUCUUCAGUCAUGUAUUGGAGGUCUCGCUGCCAGUUUUAAUGUCUUGCGCUUGGGUGAUCGGCAUUUUCGUUUCUCAGUGGCCUCAAAUCGUGUGGGACAUUUCAUUUUCGGUUUGAGAGACCGAAUUUGGCCGGACUUCAUCUGCCAUUUUCACCUUCAUUGAUCUGGGGUUUCUCGUCCACUAAUUCAUUCUUGGCACGCUGAUUCUGAGCUAACUGGUCUGGCUUCAUCACCUGGCCCGGCGAUCAAAUCUAAAUGGCUCUCUACUUAGAGUAAAUUAUCACUGGAUCCCGCCUCACUACCAGUUCUGCAGAAUUUGGGUUUCAUUAAGCCGCCGACGGACUUGCAUUCCGGCGAGCCUUCAGAUCGGAUCUUCUUUGGUAGUUUUUCACCUCCGGAUUCUAAGGAUUCUUUUCGGAUUGGUUCCAUAUCGGUACCUAUUUCUCACGAUAUUCCUGGACGGUUGCCAUCUUUUUGUGGGGAAGGAUAUAUUAUGGGAUUAUGGGAUUCAAUUUCGGAUGAGAAAUUAUUUGCUAUUCUCGAUGGCUGGCAGGCCGGUUAUGAUAAUGAUAGUGUUAAGCUUCUGGUGCAAAUCACUUCAGUCCCCUCCAAGGAAUACAUUUACAAAAGACUUUUGCAUUGCUCUCUCUGUGAUUGUCUCGGUCAUGUUGAUGAUUCGUGUACUGGAAUAUUUUGUCAAGGUUGUGGGGAUAUUUCUGGGACAUGUGCCUGCACGUCUACACGUACUGAUGCUCGCAAGCAUGAGCCAUGCAAAGUAGACCUGAACCCUUUGGGCCCUCAAUGUAAUGCAUGUUCUGUAGUUAACCACAUUACCAGGCUUUGUCCUGGGCUUCGUCGCUGUCCUCUAUGUCAUCGUUUGGGCCACAAGUUACGUAAGUUUCCGGCUUGUGCCUCUCUACCCCGAUGGGCUUGGAAAAAGAAAAAUCUACCACAAUCAAAGAGGAUCUUGCCUCGGGUUACCGCGGGUGCAUCUGAGGUAGGUAUCUCUGUGGAUGUUGGUAUGGCCCGUGCUACUGGGGAUCCGCAUGGUGGUUGCCUUUCGAAACGGCAACAGAAUAUCCCGUUCCACGCGGAAGUGGCUAACCCCCAUUGCUUGACGAUACGCCUACCCGGUCAGGGUGUAGUCAAUUCUGCCUGCCAAAAACCCCAAUCGAGUGUUACGACGCUCUCCUCGAGUUCUACACCCACGCCUCCGCCAUCUCGACUCUUCUCCCCAUCGGCUCCCAGCAAGCAAUUUCCAUCCCCUGCUCCGGCGAAAUCUCUCAAGCAGUCCCCGGCUUCGUCACUCAUGGCGAACUUCCCCGUGAGCCCCUUCGCCUUCGCUCCAGACGGAUCUACCUUUGAUCACGGGCCGGCUCACCGGGUCCAGAGACAUGUCAUGGUGGUGGAUGAUCCGCCUCUGAAUCAUGAUAGGUACGCCAUUGUCUCCGUCCACCCUCCGGUCCCUGAUCAUCAGAAGGAGUUAUGGCUAGCUGAGGUCUGCCGCAUUAUUGUUGGAGAUUUACAGUAUGAGCUGCUAGAUGACUUUGUUUACCCGCUGGGGAUUGGAUGUGUUGUGUUUGCGGAUAUGGAGAGUAGAGAUGCUGCCAUUAGAGAAGGUCCGCAUGCUUUGUUUGAGGAUUCCACUUUUUCACUAGUUCCGCAUGAUGAGAGCAUCAAUAUGCGUAUGCCUGCUUUUGAAUAUGAAGCUUGGGUCAUGUUUCUUGCUUUUCCACUGGACUACCAAAUAGAGCAUUAUGUUCAUAAGGCAGUCUCACACUUUGGGAAAAUGCUUGCCUGGCCCCGCCCGGGUCAGAACAAGGCCAGAGUCCUUGUCAAAUGCCAUAUCAAAGAUGUUGCGGAGGUGCCACAUAGUCUGGUCAUUACUAGAGUUGGUUUACUACCGGGUCUUGCUCGUUCAUGGUCCGUACCAGUUUAUGUUCUGAAUGGCAGGAAUACUAUACCGAACUUGGUUGGCAAUGAGGACACCCCACCACUUUUGAAUGCAUCUCCACACCCAUACCAGCUCCCUUACUAUACCCUCAUGCAACAAGCAAGGAUUGAUGAGAUGGUUACUCAGGAUGCUUUGAAUGCGGAGGCCUGGAAUGCUCCUGAACCAGUUAAUGAUGUUCAGAACAAUGGGUGGGGUGUGUGGCCUGUGGUAACUCCACCCUACACUGGUUUCAGCUUUAGGACCUUCUUUCAGUAUGAUGGUCCGUCCCUCAUGGAUGGUGUGGACCCGGAGCAUAAUGUGCAAGAUAAUUUAUCUGACAUUUGGUCAUCUGAUUCGGAGUUUCAAACAGUAGAUGCUUUGGCUGAUGGAUUUGUGAAUGGCAGUCCUGCAGCGAGGAGGGAGUUCGUCAGGGCUGGAGGAAACUCUCUUUUUCUUUAGAUUGCAGUUGAUUAUGAGUUCUUGCUAUGGAUUGGGGGCAUGCUCAAACGCAUUUAUACGCCCACUAUCACCCUGCAACACAAUUCUCCUGUAAUGAUGCCCCUCAAUCCCUUUCAGAUUAUUCAGAAUCAUCUUAAUGCAGCGGCGGCAGUUUGGAUUGAGUGUAUGGUGCCGGAACCUGACAUCUUCUCAAGGAUCUUUGCUUCUGCCCUUCAGUGGGGGAGAGUCACUGUCCCAUCUGGUGUGCUCUCGCCUAAACCCAGGGCUCGUUCCAAUGCUAUGAAUUGGGAUCUAUCGGAACAAUCUCCUGGCCUCAAGGCGCUUCCACAGCUCGUCUCAACGGAUGAGGAGACUCAGAUGAUGCUUUCAUCAGACCAGUCUACUGCGCUCCAGGUGCUGGCGUCUUCCUCUAUGUUCAAUACUCAUCAACAUAGUAACAUAUUAGUGCCACUGGACACAACCACUGUCAGACGAAGCAACAGAUCCAACAAGUAUGAUGGUUUCAAAAUCAACCAUGCUCCGAAAGCAAGGCGUUCAAAAUCAAGGGUGAAACCUAGAGACAUUCCUUUUGUCAAUGUUGUUUCUUUGGUUGCUGCUCCUGUGCAGGUUCCCAUUGCCGAUUGCCCCCAGCCAAUGUCGAUCGAGGAUCUUCAACAGAUGGGGCGCAGUUGUGGAAUUCGUCCGGAAGCCAUCUCCCGUGACAAGCUGCUGGAUGAUCAGAGCUCGUCCGGGGAAGCUGAGCACUGAAGGCUACCCGACUGAUGAAUAAAUCGUGGAAUGUGCUCUCGUGGAACAUCAGAGGCAUAAACUCUGAUGACAAACUUUUGGCUGUUAGGAAUGCGAUUGAUACUAGCGGUUGUUCUGUGAUAUGUAUCCAGGAAACUAAACGUGAAUCCUUCGAUCCUGCUUUUAUUAAGACUUUCUGCCCUAAGCGCUUCGAUAAAUUUGUUUUUGCACCGUCAGUGGGGGCUUCUGGGGGCCUCAUCAUUAUCUAGAAUAGUGCUGUUUUUACUGGUACAUCUUGGUUUGUGGAUUCUUUUGCCAUUGGGAUCUCUUUCGUGGCCACGCAGUCACAUGAUUCGUGGAAUCUAAUCAAUGUUUAUGGCCCCUGUUCUGGUCAGCGCAGACUAGACUUUACAAACUGGCUUUUUGAGCUUAAUAUCCCUGAUGAUGACAAUUGGUUAAUUCUGGGUGACUUUAACUUUAUUCGCUCCACGAAUAACAGAAACAAGUCAGGUGGCAACGCUGCGGACAUGCUACUAUUCAAUGAGAUCAUCCGCGCACAAUCACUAAUGGAACUACCAGUUAAAGGCCGUGCAUACACAUGGAGUAACAUGCAAGAUGAUCCUCUACUUGAACAAUUAGAUUGGUUUUUCACGUCGUCUGAUUGGACUACCAAAUACCCUAACACAAUGGUCUUGCCCCUGGGGAAGCCAGUGUCUGACCACAUUCCUUGUGUGGUCACGAUUGAAUCAAGCAUCCCACGGUCCAGGCUUUUUCGGUUUGAAAAUUUUUGGACAGAUCAUGAGGGGUUCAUGGAGGUUGUUGCUGGUUCAUGGUCUAAACCAUGUCACGCACCCAAUGCGGCGGCGCGAAUUUGCAAAAAGCUCAAGAUUCUGAGACAUGAUCUCAAGCGUUGGAGUAAGGGUGUCUCCAAACUUAAAAUUCUGAUUCAAAUCAGUAAUGAGACUCUAACAAACAUGGAUGCACUUGAGGAUAAACGACCCCUAUAUGUUCAAGAAUCAAACUUCAGGAAGAUACUGAAAAACCAUCUACAGGCCUUGCUCAAAUACCAAAAUGAGUACUGGCGAAAGAGGUGUACGAUCAGGUACUUUCGUUUUGCCGAUGAAAACACAAAACUCUUUCAGUCUUUGGCCACAGAGAGGUACAGACACAAUACUAUUGCCAUGCUCAGAGUUGGGGAAGUCGAUAUACAUGACCAUGUUGGCAAGGAGGGGGUACUGUUCAAUACAUACAGAGACCGUUUGGGUUUUUCUAAACCUACCAACAUGAAAUUUGAUCUUUCUAGGAUCAUUCGCAGGAUUGAUGGACUGGACCAGCUGAGCGCGCCAUUCUCUAAUGAUGAAAUAGAUGCUGUGGUUAAGGAAAUGCCAAAUGACAGAGCACCUGGCCCGGAUGGGUUUAAUGGUUGUUUCCUUAAGAAAUGCUGGCAAAUUAUCAAGACAGAUUUCUAUGAUCUCUGUCACGCAUUUCAUGCAGGUGGUCUGGAUAUCACUAGCAUAAGUGAGGGUUACAUCACCUUGAUUCCCAAAAAUUCCUCUCCGGAGACAGCUAAUGACUUCAGACCAAUCACCUUACUCAACUGUUGUCUAAAAGUCAUUACAAAGAUCCUGGCGAACCGACUGCAAAAAGUGAUCCUAAAAAUUAUUCACAGGAAUCAGUAUGGAUUUAUCAAAGGUAGGACCAUCCAGGAUUGCCUGGCGUGGUCGUACCAAUACAUUCAUCAGUGCCACUCGUCUGGAAGAGAGAUCAUAUUGCUCAAACUAGACUUUGCUAAGGCCUUUGACACGAUCGAGCAUGCCCCCAUGCUGGAAAUCAUGAAGCACAUGGGCUUUGAUGAUAGGUGGCUGGGCUGGACGAAACUGAUUUUUGGCUCGGGAGUUUCAUCCGUCCUCUUGAAUGGCGUUCCUGGCCGGAAAUUCAAAUGCAAAUGUGGAGUACGACGGGGUGACCCUCUCUCGCCACUAAUCUUUGUUCUUGCUGCUGAUCUGCUACAAGCUGCGAUCAAUGAUGCUUAUGCUCAGGGAUUGCUAGAGCUACCCAUUCCACGUGAAAAUGCAGGUGACUUCCCGGUGGUGCAGUAUGCUGACGACACGAUCUUGGUUAUGCAAGCUUGUCCUACACAGGCAAUCCGUAUGAAACUUAUCUUGGAGGAUUAUGCAGCUUCGGUAGGGCUCAAAAUUAACUUCCAUAAAUCGACCCUCAUACCCAUCAAUGUUGAUCAUCAGCGUGCCGGGGGGUUGGCGGAAGUGUUUGGUUGCUCGGCUGGUUCCCUGCCGUUUACAUACCUUGGUCUUCCCAUGGGGACAACGAGACCGACGGUUCUUGAUCUCAUGCCAUUAGUCCAUUCGGUUGAGAGGAAAACCUCCACUGCCCUAACACUGAUGUCGUCAGGGGCCAAACUAACGUUGGUCAAUUCGGUGGUCACCUCCAUGUUGAUAUAUGCAAUGUGUACGAUCAAGCUACACCCAAAAAUAGUUGAACAUCUGGACAAACUCCGCCGCUAUUGUCUAUGGGCAAAAAAUUCUGAUGAUGGGAUCAAAUCCAACUCCCUUGCUGCAUGGGAGCUUGUCUGUCGACCGAAACGGUGUGGUGGCCUUGGUGUUAUUAAUGUCAGAAUACAAAAUACCGCGCUUCUCCUUAAAUACCUGUUCAAAUUCUACAAUCGUGAAGAUGUACCCUGGGUUCAGCUGAUCUGGGAAACGCACUACCCAAACAAGGUGCCGCACACCGCCGAGCCAGUGGGUUCCUUCUGGUGGAAAGAUGUAAUGCAGCUCAGUGGAAUCUUCCGUGGGAUCACCAGGGUAGUCCCCGGAGAUGGUCGUACCUCACUUUUCUGGAAGGAUGUCUGGUUGGGAGACCCAGCCUCCACAUUAAUGGAUACGCAUCCGCGGGCAUUCUCAUAUGCCCUAAAUGAGGAUGAUUCUGUUGCCAAGAUCCUCAAAUCCACUGAUCCUGCCUCGAUCUUCAGUCUGCCUCUUUCGAUCCAGGCCAGGGAAGAGAUCAGAGAGAUACAGCAAAGGUCCGCGCACGUCGGUCUGGACAGUGGAUCAGUUGAUACUUGGGUCUGUGACCUGGGACGAUACUCGUCUAAGAAAUACUAUAUCCACUGCUUCAGACAGGUUAUGGCUGAUGAGGCCUUUGGAUGGCUAUGGAAAGCCAAAUGCCCGAUCAAGUUCAAGAUGUUUGGGUGGCUGCUUAUGGUAGAUCGGUUGAACACCAGGAAUAUGCUGAAGCGACGGCACUAUAAUGUGGAUGGGGGCGACUAUACUUGCAUGCUCUGCCAAAACCCACCCGAGGAAACCGUGGAACAUAUCUUCUUCACGUGCCCUUUUGCCCAACAAUGCUGGAAUAGGAUUGGUCUGAUGUGGCCAGGGGGGGACCAACAGGCUUGCCAUUUUGCAUGGUGGUAGAGAAGACUGGCGUCGGCCGCUUUUCAUGGACAUCUUCUUGCUUGCUGCUUGGAGCCUGUGGAUGGAAAGGAACAACCAACAUUUCAGGAGGAUCCCGCAUUCGUUUGGGGCAUGGUUAGCUAGAUUUAAACAUUUGCUGGGUUUGGUGACCCACAACUGUCCGGAGAAGGUUCAUCCUUUCCUCUCUGAUUUCAUUGUUAGUUUGGGCAGCUAGCUUUGUAUCAAUCAUGGCCGGGGGGGCCUAAAACCCCUUUGUAACACAAAUGUAACUAUUCUGUUGUGAGUAAUACAAAGUCAGUGGGAGCCUCUCCCACUGUCACCAAUUCCUCAAAAAAAAGAAGCAAGUAUUGUAAGAACAUAUGUGAAAUGCAUGUAUAGGACAAAUACAAGUGUUCAAGAAGCAAGUAAAAUGCGAAGAAGGGGAGGAAGAAGUAACCUGAAUUCUGAGUCUGACCGGAUGCAUCAAUGGUAUUGAGGAAGAACAUUCGUGUAUUACAAUAUACCAUGAAGUUUAUGAGGCUCAUUCCUGUUGGACCAGUCCAAGAGUCACACAUAAGAGUCACACCGAAGUUUUUCCAAUCUUGUUUAAAUUUUUGAAGAAAGGAAGUAGCUUCAUCAUAGUUAGCCUCCAAAUAUUUCCCAUCAAUAUCCUUUGCGGUUGGUAUAGGAGCAGGCCCUAAUUGUUGAGUGAUCUUCACAGCAGCUCGGAAGUAUGGGCAAUCAGCUUUAUGUCCAGCAAUAUCAUUGGCAUGAAAAAACUUGGACCAAGCUAGGCCAAGUGCAUCUCUUGAAUUAGGAUCCAAAGCACUAGUGAUCUUGGGCUGCAUAGAUACUUUGUUGCUGGAUAAUUGUUUGUCAAAAUAGGCAGUGAUACUCCUUUUGCCAACAGAAACCCGCUCAUCACCCACGCCCCCUACCAAUCCUCCUUUCAACUCCGCGGGAGAAAUUCGGGUCACGCAAGGCCUCUCUAAUAUUCAUCUAUAUUUCUUCUUCAUCAUCAUCUAGUAUGUUAAUCACCCCUCCUUUUUGAUACAACCCUUCCAUAAUAUUUCUUUCAGUUCUCAGCCUACUAUUUUGUUUGUCUCUUUUCUUCCUCUUUGAUUCAUCCCGGCACUCUCUCAUUGCAUCUCUCACAUUUCUUGGCACAUUGGGGCAGCUCCUCACAUUACCUACAAUACCACCAAGGUGCUCCGCAACACGGGUUGCACCUCCACCUUUGUGCUUUAGGCUGCAGUACACACAAUCAAAACCCCCGUAAUACGGCCAUGCAUGGUUCCAAGGAUCAUACAAGUUAUUAUCUUUAAUUCCUGCAUUGCAAAGUUACAAACAACAUCACUUCAAUUGAAGCUAGCAAAUCAAGAUCAUGGUUCCAUUUGCAUCGUGUGAACAAGCAAAGCAUAGUAAUACCUUUCCAAGAUUUUUGGGAAUCAUUUGCAUUUGCAUCAUGGUUGCCACUACCACUCCUAUUUGCAUUUCCAUUACCUGAAAAUCACAUGACAAAAGAACAACGGUCAACUAUGAAGAAUAGGUAACUAAGGAAGCCACACUUGCUUACUAGGGUGUCCCCAUAUGAAUGAUAAACAAAAACAGUAUAACCCGAUCUACUAGGGUGUCACUUGCUUACUUAAUGGUAUUGCUGACCAUUCAAAUUAAUCAUUGGGUCAACAUCUACUUACUUAAAUACACACGCAACACAACUGCUUUUUUAUUGGACGUGCUGUAGAUCUAAAUAAAUGAUCGAUUCAAACAUCGGAUGCUUAUUCAAAUAUACAAGCCAGUGGUUGGAUGUGAUAAAAGACACUAUAACAUUGCGCACAGGAAUCAUCUCAACAGCUCAAAACGCAAGCACACAACUCAGAUUUAUGGAACGAUUGUAUAUUUGAGGAUGUUAAUAACAAGGUUUGUAACCCAGUUUUCUUUUGGACCAAAAUAAAUAUUACCAGAUCGUGAGCAUCCUUGGUGACUAAAAGCAAAAUAUGCAUGAAAACAGAUGUGAAUCAUACAAAAUUACAUGGUAAUAGAGCACAUCUUGCUUCCUCCAUCCUUUGGCAGUCAGGCUCAUUAAUUGUUGGUUGCCGACUCGUCGCAGCAAGCAGUCCGAUGCAGCAACAAGCAGGAAGCUAUACUCGUACAACAAUCGAUCAAGCUGCUUGUAAUAGCUAGCUAGCUGUGUACGUACAAUUAAUCAAGCUGCUUGUAAUAGAUAUAUAGCUUUGUACGGAUUGCUGCUUCAAGUAGGAAGAUAUAAAGGCAUCAAGAACAUCAAGAACAUCUAUACCUUCCCAACCAAGAGGACGCCCUCCAUGCUGCUGCCGCUGCCCCGUGCUCCUGCCUCCAUUGAACUGGUUGGCUCGCGCACCAUCACCUCCGUUGCCGCAGCCGCCGAGCACCAUGCCGCCGUCUUGAAGAAGCAAUG